rnacentral:rRNA from 1 species
AGAGUUUGAUCCUGGCUCAGAACGAACACUGGCGGCGUGGAUUAGGCAUGCAAGUCGAGCGGGAUUCACUUGCUUCAAUUCUUCGGAAAAGAAGCUUGUGAUGAGAGCGGCGAACGGGUGAGUAAUAUAUGGGUAAUUUGCCUUGAAGCCCGGGAUAGCCACUCGAAAGGGUGGGUAAUACCGGAUGUGCUCGGGUGCUGCAUAGCACCUUAUGUGAAGGUGGGGAUCUUCGGACCUGCCACUUCAAGAUAAGCCCAUAUCCUAUCAGCUAGUUGGUAAGGUAAUGGCUUACCAAGGCUUACGGGUAGCUGGUCUGAGAGGACGACCAGCCACACUGGGACUGAGACACUGCCCAGACUCCUACGGGAGGCUGCAGUCGAGAAUNNGCGACGCCGCGUGGAGGACGAAGGCCUUCGGGUUGUAAACUCCUGUCCUGAGGGAAUAAAUGGAUACAGGCUAAUACCCUGUGUUUUUGACAGUACCUCAGAAGAAAGUCACGGCUAACUCUGUGCCAGCAGCCGCGGUAAUACAGAGGUGGCAAGUGUUGUUCGGAUUUACUGGGCGUAAAGGGUCCGCAGGCGGUUUUGUGUGUCAGAUGUGAAAGCCCACGGCUUAACCGUGGAAAUGCAUUUGAAACUACAGGACUAGAGUACGGGAGAGGAGAGGGGAAUUCAUGGUGUAGCGGUGAAAUGCGUAGAUAUCAUGAAGAACACCGGUGGCGAAAGCGCCUCUCUGGACCGAUACUGACGCUCAUGGACGAAAGCUAGGGGAGCGAAGAGGAUUAGAUACCCUCGUAGUCCUAGCCAUAAACGGUGUGCACUUGAUGUGGGAGGUUUACCCCCUUCCGUGUCGAAGCUAACGCGAUAAGUGCACCGCCUGGGAAGUACGGCCGCAAGGUUAAAAC